CUUUACCUUGUUAGCUCUGUCAGGAAGCCUGCUGUCUCCCCCUUCUCGGUGGAAAGAGCCGGAUCCAUACGCGAUCCUUCGGCAAAAGUAUACCUGCAGAGGACCCGGCCCGAUGUACCUAGCCACUUCCAGUUCCACCUAUAGGUAACGAGAGGAAACGGAAAGAGGACUUUCUACGAGCUCCUAGCGCUCACUGCGUCCAUUUGCGCUUGGAAAACUUAGCGCUUUUCGAAUGGACAAGAAUCAAGAGAUGAACCUUUCUAAGAAACGGGUAGUUAUCGAGCAGCUUCACAUAAAGUUGAUGUUAUCCACGUUUAUAUUUCCUGCGUAUAAUGACAUCAAAGAGGAAACGUGAGAUAGGUACUUAAAGAGAUAGAAGCUUCAAAAACUUGGAAAUCAUGAAAAUACUGCAAAAAAUUACAAUUUAUUAUACAGAAUGAAUCUCGUAACAUGAUAACUUUAAGUAACUCAUAAAUUAUUUCUUCUAUCAAAAAUUGUAUGGU